UGAGUUUUUAUUGUGAUAGAAUUUUAACUAGUUGUAGCUUGGUUUUUAUUGAUUUUGUUUUUCCUGUAAAGGGUAAAUUUUCACUUGGGGGUUACCUUUUGUACAAGGGGUUUUAGAAGAUUGUGUCAUUACAUUUUUUAGAUGCUUGGGGAUCUUUCUAAGGUUGUUUCUUGUUGAAUUUAUUUUAAACCUUAGGAAGGGGUGAUACGCUUUCGUCCUGAGGGAUAUCUAGUUUAUGAAAAUCUUAAGGGUAAGCCUUAACAAUUUCUCUUUUUGUAGGAUUUUUUUUAUUUUUCCUUAGUAGUAGGUGGGUGUGUUUUAACAAAAUUCCUUAGAUGAUUGGGGUUACAGCUUGAUUUAGUGUAUAAGUGAAUUAAAAUAUUAGUACUUUGUUUAAGCCCUAAGUGUUGGGUUUAUGAAAUUUAUACUCUAAAAUUCUAAAAAUUUACUAUUUUACCCCCAACAUGUUUAUUAAAAUCUUAGCUAUAUUGUUUAUGGUGUCUUCUGCCCUGUGGGUAAAUUCCUAAAUGGCUGUGGUUAUUCACACUAAGGUAGCGAAGUCAUUAGUUACUUAAUUAGUAACGGGUAUGAAUGAAGGAUUUGGGGGUAUAUUAAAGCUUUUUGGGAAAUUAUAUUUCUGUUGAAAAUAACAGACUUAACCUUAAGACAAAAAGACCCUAGAAUUUUUAUAAACAGUUAUUUUUUAUUUGAUUGGGGCAAUAGUUAAAUCUUAACAUUAUUAGUUUUUUAAUUUUUUGAACUUUUACUAAAGAUAGAUGGAGAAAUACUCUAGGGAUAACAGCUUAAUUGCUUUUUUUAGAUGUUAUUAAUAAGGUAGUUUGGGACCUCGAUGUUGGAUUAAGGUUACUUUUAGGUGAAGAUACUUUAAAAGUUGGAUUGUUCAUCCAUUAAACCCUUACAUGAUCUGAGUUAAAGUCGGCGUGAGCCAGACUGGAUUUUAUCUAAGGCUUUAAGACAAGCCCAGUUCAGUACGAAAGGACCUGCUGGUCGAGAGGUUCUUUUUAAUUUUGGGGU
rnacentral:rRNA from 1 species